CCUACGGGUGGCAGCAGUGAGGAAUAUUGGUCAAUGGACGAGAGUCUGAACCAGCCAAGUAGCGUGAAGGAUGACUGCCCUAUGGGUUGUAAACUUCUUUUAUAAAGGAAUAAAACGAGGCACGUGUGCCUUUUUGCAUGUACUUUAUGAAUAAGGAUCGGCUAACUCCGUGCCAGCAGCCGCGGUAAUACGGAGGAUCCGAGCGUUAUCCGGAUUUAUGGGGUUUAAAGGGAGCGUAGAUGGGGUGUUAAGUCAGUUGUGAAAGUUUGGGGCUCAACCGUAAAAUUGCAAUUGAUACUGGCAGACUUGAGUACAGGAGAGGUAGGCGGAAUUCGUGGUGUAGCGGUGAAAUGCGUAGAUAUCACGAGGAACCCCGGUUGCGAAGGCGGCUUACUGGACUGUGACUGACGUUGAGGCUCGAAAGUGUGGGUAGCAAACAGGAUUAGAUACCCGAGUAGUC
rnacentral:rRNA from 1 species